rnacentral:rRNA from 1 species
GACGAACGCUGGCGGCGUGCCUAAUACAUGCAAGUCGAACGCAGUUGCGAACGGGUGAGUAACGCGUAGGUAACUGCCUCAUAGCGGGGGUUAACUCUUGGAACCGAUAGCUAAUACCGCAUACUGUGAGAUGUACCUGCGUUUUAUUAGCUAGUUGGGGAGGUAAAGGCUCACCAAGGCGACGCUACAUAGCCGACCUGAGAGGGGGAUCCGCCAACAUUGGACUUGGACACGGCCCAGACUCCUACGGGAGGCAGCAGUAGGGAAUCUUCGGCAAUGGACGGAAGUCUGACCGCGCAACGCCGCGGGAGUGAAGAAGGUUUUCGGAUCUGAAAGGUCUGUUGUUAGGGAAGCGGUACCUAACCAGAAAGGUACGGCUAACUACGUGCCAGCCGCCGCGGUAAUAC